GCCGUCCUCCCUGGAUCGUCCCGCACCAGUACGUGGAGCUCGACCUCCAGUCCGCCGCUGGCACCUCCCACAACGAGGUGGCGCCGUAGGCUCCGCCCCCACCUGACCCCGUCCGUGACACGUCUGUUGAUGUCACCAUCGUGUCAUUGACCCACCACAUGACCUCCCGCAGAGGGGAGUUUGAUCCCGUGAGCACGCAGACCAGCAGGGGAGGAGAUUCCGGUUGUAGAGACGACGGGACGGACGAUAAAAUCUGAACUGACGGACCAGAACCUGCAGCGGACAAAAUAACAAGAAUAUAUCGUUUCUUCAAUUCUCUCUCGCUUUGCUCACAAUGAGAACUUGAGUCACAGCACGUUGCUCGUUUGUCAACAGGGAACAAUUAUUGUUGGAAACUCAAUCAAGCCGAGACAUAAAACCACCACAGACAAGGAGACUAAAUAACCACAAAGAGACAAGACAACCAAAAGGAGACACAAGACAAACAAAAAGAGACACAAAAUAACCACAAAUAGACAUUUUGUUUUAUGCCUUCUCUUGACAAUUGUAACUGGUUCCAGUUGGUAAUCGGCUCAUUUUAUCUUGUAUGUUUCGGAGACGACCUGCUGUCUUGAUAUGACGAUGAUCAUCAUCUCCGUUAUAGUCGGCUCCUUCUUCACCAACGUCGACCAGCAGCUGAGUCCCGCCACUGAAAACCACGGAGAAGGAGACGGCGCGUCUGCCGGGCAGAGAGCAAACGCACCAACAUCUGCAGGAGGAAACGCACCGUGAGGACAAAGCGACGCUCACAGAGCAGCUUCUUCAGUUUCUCACCGCAGCAGGAAGAUGAAGCUCAGAGCCGUAUCCAUCCCAAAGGCCUCUAUCUCCAGCCGUUCAAGCUGCCGAGGAGGAAAUACACUGAAAUGAAAGUAGAAGUUUUAAAUUCUUUGGGUUUUUUUAAGUCCUCACAUCUCACUUAAGUUCAAAUAAAUGUCGUUUUUUUAAUCAUAUGUUUUCAUAAUAUUGAAAAACCAGCAUGAGCUUUAACAGACAAUUUUUACCUAAAACAAGAGUCCAUUUAACAUUGUUUGGAUUCUGAUUUAAAGUCAUCGCAAGGAUCGUUUUUAACGUCGAAUUAAAAGUAUUCGUACCUUUUUCUAAUAGUGGUCCUUGGAGCUGCGGCUGCAGUCAGUCUGAAGUCUGAUGAUCUUUGGGUCUGUAAAACAGAAAUAUGAAAACCGUUGAAGCAGAACACCGACAGCCUCCAGAGGAGGGACGCUGCUCUGGGAUCAGAUCGACCGUUGGUUCGCAGCUGGUGACAGAAAAACAGGACAUCUUCUCACUGUGGUUCCAACUGGCGUCCGAGAUAAGAUCCCCACACCAAAGAAACACAAUCGCUACAACACAUAGUGUUGGUCUGUGUAAAACUAGUAUGAUGAGAAUUGUUGUAACAUUCUUCUUUUGGUUUUUUAAUAUUAUUAUAGCAACAUGAAGAUCUUCUUACUGUCGACAUUGUGUUGAAUGAAUCUUUCUGUUGGAUUUCUCUCCAGGGAUUUGAUCCCAAAUACAACUUGACAAUAAGUGUUAAUAUAUAACUAUAUUGUUGAUGUAGUUUUUUAAAGCACUGAUAUUCCACUAUUGUAGAUAUGAUGUACAUGCGUGUUAGUGACGUAAAAAAGAGCAGGUUGUCUCCGGAUGAAACGGCGCCCCCUGUUUGUAACGCUAGCAUCAUUAAAGUUGACAUCGCUGCCCAGCUGCGACGCACACAGGACCGCGACAGUGAAAGUACAACAGACUGAAGAUCCAUCCGACUCGGAUGAAACCGCAUGGCGUCGUUUCUUCUUCUUCUACUCUCCUCCCCGGGUCACGGGGUCACGGCGCAGUAAUAAACUGCCGAGUCGCUCCAUGUGGCGUCGAGCAGCAGCAGCGAGCCGUCGGCUCCAGCGGAGACCUUCCCCGGGCCCACGGCGGCGCCGUACUUCACGUCGGAGGCGUUUGUGGACCUGAAGGCCAGCAGCAGCUCCGGGCGGCGUCCUGCCGCUGUCCGGUACCAGCUGAGGGUGGAGGAGGCGUUGGUGGAGG
ensembl:lncRNA